UACGUAGGGUGCGAGCGUUAAUCGGAAUUACUGGGCGUAAAGCGUGCGCAGGCUGUUCUGUAAGUCAGAUGUGAAAUCCCCGAGCUCAACUUGGGAACUGCGUUUGAAACUGCAGGACUAGAAUAUGGCAGAGGGGGGUAGAAUUCCACGUGUAGCAGUGAAAUGCGUAGAGAUGUGGAGGAAUACCAAUGGCGAAGGCAGCCCCCUGGGCCAAUACUGACGCUCAUGCACGAAAGCGUGGGGAGCAAACAGG
rnacentral:rRNA from 1 species